UACAGAGGUCUCAAGCGUUUGUUCGGAUUCAUUGGGCGUAAAGGGUGCGUAGGUGGCGCCGUAAGUCGGGUGUGAAAUUUCGGAGCUUAACUCCGAAACUGCAUUCGAUACUGCGGUGCUUGAGGACUGGAGAGGAGACUGGAAUUCAUGGUGUAGCAGUGAAAUGCGUAGAGAUCAUGAGGAAGACCAGUGGCGAAGGCGGGUCUCUGGACAGUUCCUGACACUGAGGCACGAAGGUCAGGGGGAGCAAACGGG
rnacentral:rRNA from 1 species